rnacentral:rRNA from 1 species
AUUGAACGCUGGCGGCAGGCCUAACACAUGCAAGUCGAGCGGAUGAAGGGAGCUUGCUCCUGGAUUCAGCGGCGGACGGGUGAGUAAUGCCUAGGAAUCUGCCUGGUAGUGGGGGAUAACGUCCGGAAACGGGCGCUAAUACCGCAUACGUCCUGAGGGAGAAAGUGGGGGAUCUUCGGACCUCACGCUAUCAGAUGAGCCUAGGUCGGAUUAGCGAGUUGGUAGGGUAAAGGCCUACCAAGGCGACGAUCCGUAACUGGUCUGAGAGGAUGAUCAGUCACACUGGAACUGAGACACGGUCCAGACUCCUACGGGAGGCAGCAGUGGGGAAUAUUGGACAAUGGGCGAAAGCCUGAUCCAGCCAUGCCGCGUGUGUGAAGAAGGUCUUCGGAUUGUAAAGCACUUUAAGUUGGGAGGAAGGGCAGCAAGUUAAUACCUUGCUGUUUUGACGUUACCAACAGAAUAAGCACCGGCUAACUUCGUG